rnacentral:tRNA from 1 species
GGCCCGAUGGCGGAAUUGGCAGACGCGACGGACUUAAAAUCCGUUGGCCCUCAUACGGUCGUGCGGGUUCGACCCCCGCUCGGGCCA